AUUGAACGCUGGCGGCAGGCCUAACACAUGCAAGUCGAGCGGCGCGGCGGACGGGGGAGUAAUGACUAUGAAUCUGCCUGGUCGUGGGGGAUCCGUCCGGAAACGGGCGCUAGUACCGCAUACCAUCCGCUGUGCCUAGGUCGGAUUAGCUAGUUGGUGGGGUAAAGGCCUACAAAGGCGACGAUCCGUAACUGGUCUGAGAGGAUGAGCAGUCACACGGGGACUGAGACACGGCCCAGACUCCUACGGGAGGCAGCAGUGGGGAAUAUUGGACAAUGGGCGAAAGCCUGAUCCAGCCAUGCCGCGUGUAUGAAGAAGGUCUUCGGGUUGUAAAGCACUUUAGGUUGGGAGGCGUUACCUGCAGAAUAAGCACCGGCUAACUACGUGCCAGCAGCCGCGGUAAUUC
rnacentral:rRNA from 1 species